CUUUCACUUUUACAGAGUAUUGUGUGUAGAUCGUUGACAAAAAAUGACAAUUAAAUCCAUUUUAAUCCCACUUUGUAGCACCACAAAAUGUGAAAAACGUCAAGGGGUGUGAAUACCUUCUGAAGGCCCUGUAUUUAAUGGGCUUUUGUGUAACAUAUUUGUAUGUUUUGAUAGAAGUAGUUGAUUUUGUGUAAUGUAUUUAAUGUUUUGAUGGUCUUAAUGGAAAAUUCCACCCCAAAAUGAUCUUUUGGUAUUUGUUUCAUUAGUCGAUUGUUGACAUAGUCCCAAAAUGUUUUGCUUGUCAGCACUCAAGUUUUCAAGAUAUGUAACUUUCAAAAUACAGAAAUCAUCCCCUGUAUAAUGCCAUUUUGCAUCAUAUGAUGCUGCGUUUUGCAUCAUAUGAUGCAAGCUAUUUUCAUGUGCUGUGUGUGAAAGCAGAAAUAUAAGGUUUUUGUUGAAGAUAGCUAUAUCAGUGCCUGAAUAAAACCUUUCUUCUGUAGGCCUACUGUGUGCGGCAUUGUUUCCUCUCAGGUAUCUAGCUAAUUUAUCUUAACUAGCUAUCUAUCUAGCCAAACGUUAGACGUUGUACUUAGCUAGGAGUAUUCCCUCUCUCUGAGUUAAUGUAGCCCUGUCCUGUAGUCAAAUGACCAAAUCACCCUCUAGUGGCCUCAUGGGUGCAAUAUUAUUCAUAUUUUUCAUAAUUUCAUAAUUAAUAAACAUUGGGUUUUCUUAACUGCCAAAAAUCUGGUGUUUCUAUGUCAAAUGGUUCUGUUAAACUUCAGUCUUAUAUGAUGUAGAUCAAGUAUAGUAUUGGGAUGCAAACUUAAAAUUAAAUACAUUUCAAUUCUAUAUCUGACAUGUUGCAGGUCUCUUCUUUUUUAAGCCCAUACCCAUGUGUGUAAGGUGUAUACUUUUGUUCAAAGUAGAUUUGUACCAAGAAUUCUGUGUGUGCCCAUUGCAGUAAAAUGAACAUGGUUGGUAGCUACAGUAGUUGUCAAGCUUAUAAUUCAUGCUUUUAUGGUGGUUCAGUUACUGUAUGGUUUUUAGCCUAAUUAUUUCCACGAGUUAGCUAGCUAGCUAGCUAGUCUGUCUGGAUGCAGGCACAGUUACUUUAACGAUAAGUGGAUAUAGCUAGCUAGCUACAUAUUGGAUUGAAAGGAGUGUCUCAAUUGUUCAGCCAAGUUUAAACUAUCCAAUUAGACUCUCCACUUAAAUGUUGUCAUGUCUUUGUCCCCCAGAUACUAAAGGCGGCAUGGCCCUGAGAGUACUUAUCCCACCACCAGUGUACAGAGUGCAGGCAGCUACAUAUGGAAAUUAAAGUAGUAUCUCAAAUGUUUAUCCACGUUUGUCCAUUUUGACUGCCCCCUAAAAUCUUGUUACGUCUGUAUUCCCCAGAUACAGAUACUAAAGACGUGUGUGACAAGUUGGAAAGAAGACUACCUGCCCAAGCAUUGAUGAUUCCCGAAAGUCAUACUGUUGUUACAAAUAUGGCUGAAUAACUCUGCAAGGCGACCAAAAGAACAAGAGACCCGAACCCUUCAUUGUGACUCUCGGGGACAAAUCACCUCUACUCCCUGGCAUUCACCAUCAUGAAUGGGCAGGCUCUGGAGCAGAAGACAUUAUGUUUCCUUGUUGUUGUUGUUUGACAUAAAAUCAUGUUGAAAAUGUAUACCUGGUAGGAGCUGUGGGGUGGUGACUUUUCUUCAGCCCCAUUCCUCAGCUUUAAUUGGUAGGGCUGCUGAGAUAUUCAAAUGAUGGAUUGUGCUUCUAAAAUGUUGGUUGAUUGUGUGUUCCUUAUUUGUUUUUUAAAUCUUUUGCAUGACUUCAUUUUGUAGUUGAAAUUAAGAGCUGAAAAAUAAACAUUUGUGUAGUAACGUU